GAAGCUGCGGCAGCGACACUGUGUGUUGUUGGGUAGGGGAGCGUUCUGUAAGCCUGUGAAGGUGUGUCGUGAGGCAUGCUGGAGGUAUCAGAAGUGCGAAUGCUGACAUAAGUAACGAUAAAGCGGGUGAAAAGCCCGCUCGCCGGAAGACCAAGGGUUCCUGUCCAACGUUAAUCGGGGCAGGGUGAGUCGACCCCUAAGGCGAGGCCGAAAGGCGUAGUCGAUGGGAAACGGGUUAAUAUUCCCGUACUUGGUGUUACUGCGAAGGGGGGACGGAGAAGGCUAUGUUGGCCGGGCGACGGUUGUCCCGGUUUAAGCGUGUAGGUGUGUGUUCCAGGUAAAUCCGGUUCACUUUAACACUGAGGCGUGACGACGAGGCACUACGGUGCUGAAGCAACAAAUGCCCUGCUUCCAGGAAAAGCCUCUAAGCAUCAGGUAACAUCAAAUCGUACCCCAAACCGACACAGGUGGUCAGGUAGAGAAUACCAAGGCGCUUGAGAGAACUCGGGUGAAGGAACUAGGCAAAAUGGUGCCGUAACUUCGGGAGAAGGCACGCUGACACGUAGGUGAAGUGAUUUACUCAUGGAGCUGAAGUCAGUCGAAGAUACCAGCUGGCUGCAACUGUUUAUUAAAAACACAGCACUGUGCAAACACGAAAGUGGACGUAUACGGUGUGACGCCUGCCCGGUGCCGGAAGGUUAAUUGAUGGGGUCAGCGCAAGCGAAGCUCCUGAUCGAAGCCCCGGUAAACGGCGGCCGUAACUAUAACGGUCCUAAGGUAGCGAAAUUCCUUGUCGGGUAAGUUCCGACCUGCACGAAUGGCGUAAUGAUGGCCAGGCUGUCUCCACCCGAGACUCAGUGAAAUUGAACUCGCUGUGAAGAUGCAGUGUACCCGCGGCAAGACGGAAAGACCCCGUGAACCUUUACUAUAGCUUGACACUGAACAUUGAGCCUUGAUGUGUAGGAUAGGUGGGAGGCUUUGAAGUGUGGACGCCAGUCUGCAUGGAGCCGACCUUGAAAUACCACCCUUUAAUGUUUGAUGUUCUAACGUGGACCCGUUACCCGGGUUGCGGACAGUGUCUGGUGGGUAGUUUGACUGGGGCGGUCUCCUCC
rnacentral:rRNA from 1 species